rnacentral:lncRNA from 1 species
CCAAUUGUAAACAUGGGAAUUAUGGCUAAAACUAUUUCUGUGUAUUUAAUAUAGUCAUCAGUAUAUAAGACCAACUUUCUUUUUUACCUUUCAUCUUAAAAGCUGAUAUUCCUUCAGGAAAUAGUGAACCUUCUACAUCUGCAAGUCCUGAAGACAAAUGGGAAGAUAAAAUUGAACAAGAUAAGUUCCACGUAAGUUACUGCAUGUAAUAGAUGGUAAUAGAUAUUUCAGUUGGUCUAUCAAAACAGUUUUUAAUUUAAAUAUCUUUUUUUAGCCAGUACCAGGAAAAGAUGUUUUGGAAAGUGGUAAGAAUAUUCCAACUCAGUAUAUGUCAGUGUCAGCAACUGCUAAAUUUCAAAACAUGAGUCAUGAGGAGCUGCGUUUUAUACAUUACAUGAAACGUGAAGUACAUUCAGAUGAAUUACAUGCAGAGAAUUUACAUGAAAGAAAUACAUUGCCAAAAUUUGGGUUUUCAAAAAAGAUUCAUUGAAGUACAGUGCAGCACGAUUUUGUACUUGGAAAAGAAGCACUUGGACAAAAGACAGAAGCUUUUUUAUUUUCAAAGCAUUUCACAGUUGACAUCCAGAAGAACAAAGCAAGCAGAAUGAAAAAGCAACCAAAAUGGGUCGGUGUGUGAAAGAGGGAACUUCGCUGUUGGUCCUCCUCAAACAACAAGACGGGCAGCACCUGAAUGAAAUAAUAAAAUGUACAGAUACA